AAAAAUGCGUCGAAUCACCACCCCAUCAACAAUCCGGACACUUCUCCGUCGCUGCAUUUCUUCGUCGGCGACCAAUCAAACGCACCACCUUCCUUGUUCCCAGAUUUCCCUUUCCAAAACCCAUUUUUUCACUUCACCACUUCCCCACUAUGAUUCAUUUUCUUUUUCGCACUAUUCUACCAGUUUCAGAUCCUUUUCAUCCCAAUCCGGAAGGGAUCAAGAAGAAACAACCGCUCAGUCUCUUUCAUCUGAGCUUGUUAAGGAGCUCGAUGCAGAAUCUCUAUCAAUUCCACAAAGUCUCGAUCUUUCUUUCUCCCAUGUCAAUUUGACGCCUUCCCUGAUCCUUACCACACUCAAUCUUUCCCCAGAUGCAGGCCGGACAGUAUUAGGGUUUUUCAAGUGGGUUAAGUCUAAGGAAAGUUUCAAGGUUGAUGAUGAGGUUGUGUCUUGCUUUGUGGAUUAUUU
rnacentral:misc_RNA from 1 species